UGAGCAACCUGCCCUUAGCUCUGGGAUAACCCCGGGAAACCGGGGCUAAUACCGGAUACGAGUCCGAGCGGCAUCACGCGGACUGGAAAGUUUUGCGGCUAAGGAUGGGCUCGCGGCCUAUCAGCUUGUUGGUGGGGUAAUGGCCUACCAAGGCGACGACGGGUAGCCGGCCUGAGAGGGUGACCGGCCACACUGGGACUGAGACACGGCCCAGACUCCUACGGGAGGCA
rnacentral:rRNA from 1 species